rnacentral:lncRNA from 1 species
AAACCGUUUGGAAGAAUGUUUUAUAUUCAGUCAGGACAGUGCUGCACUGGGGCUUUUACACAGCUCAAAGACAGUUGGAGAAAAUGAUGACUGGCCUUGCUGGUGAUAGGAAAGGCAGCCUGGAGAUGCCAUUCCUGAAGAGAGAAUGAGGAUCGCAUUACAGACGGAGCUAUGAAAGGAUCAGGAGGACUGGAGCGGUCAGAAGACAGGAAGAGUUAAGACAUCGAAGCCCUGAAGAGAAAGAGUGCAGGAGCUUGAGGUUUUGGCGAGCGAGCUUCAUGUUGGUCCUCCAGGGUAGAGACAUUUUAAAGGAAGAAAUUCCAGAUUAGAAUUUUAAAAUUUUCUGAAGCAGUUGGAGAGGCCGCCUUUCCUGUUAAUUAUAAGAGCAACUGGAAAAGCAAUCAAGCAGCAACAUUUCGGUAUUCUCCAAAGUUUGUGUAUAGUCAAAGCCACGGUCUCAGCGUUCACUUUGUCGAGACUCCCUCACCUCUUUAUAAUCUCUUCGGAUAGCAGAACAUUCUUCCCCAGCAGAGCCAACCUCAAAGGCAGACAUGCUCCUGCUCUUCAGUGUCUUGGAGCUCUUCUGAGCUUGUACUUUGCCCACCCUCCCUAAUUCUGUUGCUCUUUAUGCCCGGCUACCAUCUUCUCAGCUUGUCAGAUUCUAACAAUCCACUUAACUCAUUGCAGCAUUUUUCUCUCACUGCAAAUAGAAAGGACAAGUCUACUGCAUCUUCCACAUGAUCAUUUCUCAAAUAUCAAAAAGUACAGCUAGAGUAGACUACUUACAUUUGGGGUUUUCUUUCCCCAGAUUAAAUACCCCUAAUUGCCUUGAUUCUAAUGGUUUGUCAAAAUUAUGACCUAAUAUAUUUGUGAUAACAUAUAAUAAAGUAGAAUCUAAAAAUUGCAA